rnacentral:rRNA from 1 species
AGGACGAACGCUGGCGGCGUGCUUAACACAUGCAAGUCGAGCGGAAAGGCCCUUCGGGGUACUCGAGCGGCGAACGGGUGAGUAACACGUGAGCAAUCUGCCCUUAGCUUCGGGAUAGCCCCGGGAAACUUGAGCUAAUACCGAAUGUGCCCGAAAGGGGAAAGAUUUAUCGCCAAUAAAUCAGCCCGCGUCCGAUUAGCUAGUUGGUGGGGUAAAGGCCCACCAAGGCGACGAUCGGUAGCUGUUCUGAGAGGAAGAUCAGCCACACUGGGACUGAGACACGGCCCAGACUCCUACGGGAGGCAGCAGUUGGGAAUCUUGGACAAUGGGGGAAACCCUGGAUCCAGCCAUGCCGCGUGAGUGAUGAAGGCCUUCGGGUUGUAAAACUCUUUCGACGGGACGAUAAUGACGGUACCGUAGAAGAAGCUCCGGCUAACUUCGCGCCAGCAGCCGC